AUAACUCGUUUUCAACACACUUCCUUCAGUCACAGAAGAAAUGUUGCUAAAUUCUGGUUUGCAUUCCCCAAGUAAUACACAGAGCUUCUGUUCAAGUCAAGAGCACUACUGGGUAUUUAGCCCCUUUUAUUCUGGGAGAGUAUCGUAAGCACGGGAAGUCUACAUCUGGGAUCAGAAUUCAAACAAUGUUGUGAAACCACGGCAGUUGUUUCACUUGGAGGAAGGGGAAAAAAGCCCCAACAGCAAAAAGGCAAAACUUGGAGAACUUCAUUUGUGACUUCAAAUGUGGGAUUCCACAGUAGAAUACACCAUAACACACAACCUGAUACCUUAACAGUGCUAACUUACAUUGCAGUUUGGAGGACCUGCAAGGAGAAACCCACCCUUUUAUGUGAGCUCUCACUUUUAAGGAUUUUACUGCUGCCCUUUGGGCUUCAAUCUAAGGAGACAAAGAAAAGGUUAUUAUUUCUCUUUUUGCCAUGGAAGAACAUAUCCUCACCGGUUUUGCACAGGUUAACAAGCAGAAAGUCAAAAAUUAAUCAACAGCUCCACAAUGAUAAUAAUGCAAUGCAUAGCUAAAGCCUUCGUUCUAUUGCUCAUAACUGCUCCUAAAAUA